UGUGGUCCCUUUUCCACUUGAGCCUCGUUUCUUCAUUCACUCGGCCCAUUUCAUAAUUACUGUUUUCUUAAUUUUUUUUUAUAACGCUGAUUUAUUACGGUCUUACAAUUAUGAUAUAGGAAAUAUUACAUAGACGAUUCGACAACCGAUAAUACUACCUGCCUUAUGAAGACCUACGCCUAACUGCUGCAUCACCUGAGCCGUCCUAUGAAGAUCCACGCCUGGCCAGAUUUACUUGCACCAUGUUGAAGAUCCCUUGUAAGCCUUUCCUCUGUAGUCUGCAUAAUUGUUUAAUAAACCGCUCUCUCUGGGACUUGAAACCUGGAUUUCCUGUAAUCUGCAAUAAAUUGCAUAGUCUGGGAUUCGAACUCCAGACCUAGGUGUAGAAGCCUUUAAACCUUAACCAAUA
rnacentral:lncRNA from 1 species